UUGUUCACAGCGUUUUUUCGUCAGCGUUAAACAAAUUAAACCACGGCCAUGAGUGGCCAUAAAGUUGACAGCAUCAGGCGUGACGUAUUCAGCCGCCAUCA
rnacentral:antisense_RNA from 1 species